GUACACUCCUACGGGAGGCAGCAGUGGGGAAUAUUGCACAAUGGGCGCAAGCCUGAUGCAGCCAUGCCGCGUGUAUGAAGAAGGCCUUCGGGUUGUAAAGUACUUUCAGCGGGGAGGAAGGCGAUAAGGUUAAUAACCUUGUUGAUUGACGUUACCCGCAGAAGAAGCACCGGCUAACUCCGUGCCAGCAGCCGCGGUAAUACGGAGGGUGCAAGCGUUAAUCGGAAUUACUGGGCGUAAAGCGCACGCAGGCGGUCUGUCAAGUCGGAUGUGAAAUCCCCGGGCUCAACCUGGGAACUGCAUUCGAAACUGGCAGGCUAGAGUCUUGUAGAGGGGGGUAGAAUUCCAGGUGUAGCGGUGAAAUGCGUAGAGAUCUGGAGGAAUACCGGUGGCGAAGGCGGCCCCCUGGACAAAGACUGACGCUCAGGUGCGAAAGCGUGGGGAGCAAACAGGAUUAGAAACCCGAGUAGUCCCAU
rnacentral:rRNA from 1 species